CAGCAGGCUUAACUGACCCAGUGGUUGAAAUGCCACAGACAGCGCCACCUGGCUUAUGCAAAAAUUCAGGAUAAGUAAAAUUAUCUGGUGUCAAAUUGCCUAUGAUGAUGAAAGAACCAAUUAACCCAUGACACCAGAAGAACCAAGAGGAAGUUAAGCAAAUGAGAAGUAAAGGAUAAGAGAAGAAUACAUGCCAGAUGAUGGAUAGCAAUCAGAGAGAAGCUGGAAAACAAGGAGGCUGCAUGCACCAACAGCAGUAACUAAUAAAAAGAAUCCCAAC